CGCUAGUUGUGGGGACCUUCCACGGUCUCUGCGACGCAGCUAACGCAUUAAGCGCCCCGCCUGGGGAGUACGAUCGCAAGAUUAAAACUCAAAGGAAUUGACGGGGCCCCGCACAAGCAGCGGAGCAUGCGGCUUAAUUCGACGCAACGCGAAGAACCUUACCAAGGCUUGACAUAUAGGGAAAAGCGGCAGAGAUGUCGUGUCCGCAAGGGCUCUAUACAGGUGGUGCAUGGUUGUCGUCAGCUCGUGUCGUGAGAUGUUGGGUUAAGUCCCGCAACGAGCGCAACCCUCGUUCUGUGUUGCCAGCAUUUAGUUGGGGACUCACAGGAGACUGCCGGGGUUAACUCGGAGGAAGGUGGGGAUGACGUCAAAUCAUCAUGCCCCUUAUGUCUUGGGCUGCACGCAUGCUACAAUGGCGCAUACAAACGGCUGCAAUACCGCAAGGUGGAGCGAAUCCGAAAAAGUGCGUCUCAGUUCGGAUUGGGGUCUGCAACUCGACCCCAUGAAGUCGGAGUUGCUAGUAAUCGUAGAUCAGCAACGCUACGGUGAAUACGUUCCCGGGGCUUGUACACACCGCCCGUCACGUCACGAAAGUCGGUAACACCCAAAGUCAGUGGCCCAACC
rnacentral:rRNA from 1 species